rnacentral:rRNA from 1 species
GAUGAUGAGCCAUACCAGCUUGAUCUCGUCAGAUCUCAGAAGCUAAGCAAGGCUGGGCCUGGUUAGUACUUAGAUGGAAGACUGCUGUGGAUAUCAGGUGCCACAGUCA